AGCGAACGCUGGCGGCAGGCCUAACACAUGCAAGUCGAACGAACUCUUCGGAGUUAGUGGCGGACGGGUGAGUAACACGUGGGAACGUGCCUUUUGGUUCGGAAUAACUCAGGGAAACUUGUGCUAAUACCGAAUGUGCCCUUCGGGGGAAAGAUUUAUCGCCAUUAGAGCGGCCCGCGUCUGAUUAGCUAGUUGGUGAGGUAACGGCUCACCAAGGCGACGAUCAGUAGCUGGUCUGAGAGGAUGACCAGCCACACUGGGACUGAGACACGGCCCAGACUCCUACGGGAGGCAGCAGGGGGGAAUCUUGCGCAAUGGGCGAAAGCCUGACGCAGCCAUGCCGCGUGAAUGAUGAAGGUCUUAGGAUUGUAAAAUUCUUUCACCGGGGACGAUAAUGACGGUACCCGGAGAAGAAGCCCCGGCUAACUUCGUG
rnacentral:rRNA from 1 species